rnacentral:misc_RNA from 2 species
GAAAUGCGAUAAGUAAUGUGAAUUGCAGAAUUCAGUGAAUCAUCGAAUCUUUGAACGCACAUUGCGCCCGCCAGUAUUCUGGCGGGCAUGCCUGUUCGAGCGUCAUUACAACCCUCAGGCCCCCGGGCCUGGCGUUGGGGAUCGGCGGAGCCCCCCGUGGGCACACGCCGUCCCCCAAAUACAGUGGCGGUCCCGCCGCAGCUUCCAUCGCGUAGUAGCUAACACCUCGCGACUGGAGAGCGGCGCGGCCACGCCGUAAAACACCCAACUCUUCUGAAGUUGACCUCGAAUCAGGUAGGAAUACCCGCUGAACUUAA